AGGCCUGGGGCAGUCCAGCCAUGUGGGGACCAGGGGCUGUGUCCACCAUGGCCUGGACUUCUCUCCUCCUCGUGCUCCUCUCUCACUGCACAGGUUCCCUCUCCCAGCCUGUGCUGACCCAGCCGCCCUCCCUCUCUGCAUCUCCUGGAGCAUCUGCCAGACUCACCUGCGCCCUGAGCAGUGGCUUCAGUGUUGGUGGUUAUGGAAUAAGCUGGUACCAGCAGAAGCCAGGGAGCACUCCCCGCUAUCUCCUGUACCACUACUCAAGUACAGCAUUGGGCACCGGGGUCCCCAGCCGCUUCUCUGGAUCCAAGGACACCUCGGCCAAUGCAGGAGUUCUGCACAUCUCUGGGCUGCAGCCUGAGGACGAGGCCGACUAUUACUGUCUAACCUAUCACAACAACAAUGGUACACAGUGCUAUAGACCCAUGAGGAAGUGAGACAAAAACCCUUCUAGUACUUCUUCCCAUAUGGGGCAGUUGCUGCUGCUUGUGAUUUGGACCAAAAAGACCCAGGGCUGUCUUCCCUGUGAGCACCCGAAUGUUUUGUGAAGAGUGGAUCUAGCAGUGGCUGGUCCUUUUCUUCAACUUUCUGCUGAUCCGUUGCUUGUAUCUUCUCAUUUCAUUCAUGUCUCUGCAGACAGUCCCCACUGCUCAGAUGUAAAGUCUCUCCAUAGAAACACGGCAGAAAGCUUAGAAAGGUGACCCCAGCCCUGCCCAGCUCACAGUCUGGGGGGAACUUGCAAACGCUUCCUCUGUGAGCGCUUCGGUCUAUGCCAUGGGCAGCCCUGAGUGCAGAAAUGAAUCCUGUUCUAGGUACUCGCAGCAAACCAGCUAAUAUGGCAUAGAACGUAGUAGUAUUCCAAAUAGAAUCAACAUUGGGACCCACAAAUGGUGUAGUGGUUACAUUGUUGGAUAUGGAGGACCACAGUUCGAAUCCUGGACCUGGUGGCUUAAAACUCAC